rnacentral:rRNA from 1 species
CAGUCGCCGCGGGAAUACGGAGGGUGCAAGCGUUAAUCGGAAUUACUGGGCGUAAAGCGCACGCAGGCGGUUUGUUAAGUCAGAUGUGAAAUCCCCGAGCUUAACUUGGGAACUGCAUUUGAAACUGGCAAGCUAGGGUCUUGUAGAGGGGGGUAGAAUUCCAGGUGUAGCGGUGAAAUGCGUAGAGAUCUGGAGGAAUACCGGUGGCGAAGGCGGCCCCCUGGACAAAGACUGACGCUCAGGUGCGAAAGCGUGGGGAGCAAACAGGAUUAGAUACCCGUGUAGUCCCUGUCUCUUAUAU